rnacentral:rRNA from 1 species
GCAUAUAUGCAUACACGACUGUGAACACGCCUGAUCUCCUCUGAUCUCUGAAGCUAACAAGUUGGGCCUGGUUAGUACUUUGAUGGGAAACCUCUUGGGAAUGGCAGGUGCUGUAGCCU